UUGUUUUGCUGCGAUAACAUCAGUAAACAAUAGUUUAAUAUCUAGACGGUGUUAUAAGAUAUUCAAAUUUAAUAAAAUAAAUAUGAACCAACAAUUUGUACAAGAUUCAGAAAUGUGUGGGUUUAAUGUGAUUUGUAAGGUGAACCAAUCAGAAAUGACUAUGAAGAGGAUAAUCACAUCUACGCCAAUAGAAAUCCGAUCUCCAGAACCUGAAGCCCCCUUCCUGGGGUCGACACCGAGAAGAAACAAGAAUAGGAAACAAAGAAUUAUUUAUAUGAACGCAAAACGGAUAGACUUUGACCAGAGCGAACAUUUUGAUUGAAAUUGGAAGCUAGAACCAAUCAAAGAUUAAUAUCUGAUAAUUUGUCCAAUAUCGUGUAUCAGUCUAGGUCCUUCUAGGCAGUCCACAUUUAUCAACUUGCACCCCUUGAAAGCAAAGACAAAAACAAAACAAGAGCUUAAAUAAAAUUGUUUUAUUGUUUUUACCAAUACUUUCUUAAUAAAUAAUUUAUUAUAUUUAUGAAAUAAAUUUAUUUUUAAGUUUU